CCGAGUUUACAACUCCCAAACCCCUGUGAACAUACCACUUGUUGCCUCGGCGGAUCAGCCCGCUCCCGGUAAAACGGGACGGCCCGCCAGAGGACCCCUAAACUCUGUUUCUAUAUGUAACUUCUGAGUAAAACCAUUAAUAAAUCA
rnacentral:misc_RNA from 1 species